rnacentral:rRNA from 1 species
UCGAGCGGUAGCACAGAGAGCUUGCUCUCGGGUGACGAGCGGCGGACGGGUGAGUAAUGUCUGGGAAACUGCCUGAUGGAGGGGGAUAACUACUGGAAACGGUAGCUAAUACCGCAUAAUGUCGCAAGACCAAAGUGGGGGACCUUCGGGCCUCAUGCCAUCAGAUGUGCCCAGAUGGGAUUAGCUAGUAGGUGGGGUAACGGCUCACCUAGGCGACGAUCCCUAGCUGGUCUGAGAGGAUGACCAGCCACACUGGAACUGAGACACGGUCCAGACUCCUACGGGAGGCAGCAGUGGGGAAUAUUGCACAAUGGGCGCAAGCCUGAUGCAGCCAUGCCGCGUGUGUGAAGAAGGCCUUCGGGUUGUAAAGCACUUUCAGCGGGGAGGAAGGCGAUAAGGUUAAUAACCUUGUCGAUUGACGUUACCCGCAGAAGAAGCACCGGCUAACUCCGUGCCAGCAGCCGCGGUAAUACGGAGGGUGCAAGCGUUAAUCGGAAUUACUGGGCGUAAAGCGCACGCAGGCGGUCUGUCAAGUCGGAUGUGAAAUCCCCGGGCUCAACCUGGGAACUGCAUUCGAAACUGGCAGGCUAGAGUCUUGUAGAGGGGGGUAGAAUUCCAGGUGUAGCGGUGAAAUGCGUAGAGAUCUGGAGGAAUA